GAUUACUAUCAAUAGGACUAUGUGUAGUAUGGUUUGUGUUUCGUCAUGAAGACUGGGCAUGGAUGCUACAAGAUGCUAUGGGUAUUACAUUCAGUAUAAAUCUAUUGAAGACAAUACGAUUGCCAAAUUUUAAGAUAUGUUUCAUUCUGCUGUGUGUAUUGUUUCUGUAUGAUAUUUUCUUUGUAUUUAUUACUCCAUAUUUCACUAAGAGUGGUGAAAGUGUGAUGGUGCAAGUUGCCACUGGAGGAGGUGGUGCCAAGGAACA